rnacentral:lncRNA from 1 species
UCUUGGUUAUAAUUCCGGAACCCUUGAAGUCACAGUUCCAGGAGUUCCUGCCACUGGACUGGUAGUACAAGUUCAUGGCAACAGAGGCAUGGCUGAUGAGGUUAUUUGGGUAGAAGCAAGGGCAACCCGGAUGCAGAAUACCACAGUCCACCUUGGAACAUGCGUAGUCUAUAUUUUUAUGCAGAGUUUCUUCAUUUGAUGCAGGUUUUGCAACACACCAUGUUUUCUCCUGCACAACCCAAAGAAUAAAAGAACGAAUCACUACCCAUGUAUGUAGAUAAUGAGUUAAAGUCAACACUCCAGAGUCCAGAAUUCAGAUCACUCGCACACUCGUUGUCGUGGCAAUGACUGUGCGCUCGCACCACCAUACCCUUCUUCCAUACUGUGGUUGUGGCCAAGGAGAUGGAAAGAAGCAAGAAGAGGGAAAAGAAGGAAGUUGCCAUUAGUAGUAGAUAGAUAGCUCUGGCCUCUGCUCUGAGAUUGAAGAUAGACGGAUAGAUAGAUAUAUAAUAGAGAGAAGAAGUAAGAGAGCUUUCUUGCCUUCUAUGGCAGUUUAGACCAUUGACCGUUGAUGUAAGCUGUAAGCAACAUUCAUUUUUUUUCCCUAUUUACCACAUUUUAGAAUUCUAGUGAGGUCAGAUAUAGAUGGUGACUUUUUAACUAACUAAAGUCACAUAAGUUAAACUAAAGAAUUUAAAAUUUUCAUUUAAAAUGAAGAAUAAUAAUUAAUAGAACAUUACAGUGAGUAAAAAAAACUAUGUAGUCUAUAAACUAUAAUAGAUACAUUAUCUUAAAUCUAACUCUAAAUUAUCUCAGAAGAUUAGUCUUUCGUACUUUUAUAAUUUAUGCGUUAUCUUUAAAUAUUUAAUGAGAUUGCACGAGAAGAAUUUAAAAAUUAUUAUCUAAUAGAAGAUUAAGAUUUAAGAUCUUUAAUAACCAGUCUCAUCUGAAAUUGAACUGAUAUCUUUAAUUACCUCAUUAAGAAUUAUUUUAAUAGAAUUUAGGAUUAGGGUUAUUAAAUUACUACCUUAAGCAAAGCAAUCCUAUCACUCCAUCAGAUUGGUGUGUUGUCUAAAUAAAUCUGUCUGCAUUCAGAUGCUGACUUUACAACCAAUCAAGUUAGUAAACUUACAGGGUAACUAACUAAGUGUUUAGAAUUUAAAGAAGCGAGAUUCAAGUGCAAACAAUAUUCGAGAAACAUGAUGCAAACAAUUUAUCUGAUAAAACAGAUCUUUUUUUUUGUUAAGGAUACUUUGAUAUUAAUAAAGAGAGUUUUAAGCAAUUAAAAUUUUAACACUAAGCUAAUCUACCUUGCUGCGGUUAGCUCCUGCUAACCUCCAACAUAUAUCCUUGUCAUGGAUGAGCAUGAUGAGGAUAUCCUAUUGAAACAAUGCCCUCACUUAUAAGUGUUUUGUUCAUAUUAAAUAUGUCAAAUCUCAUUAAUAGACAUCGAUAUCUUAACCGACGUUCAAAUAGACUGUUUGGUUGAUAUUGUCACAUUGAUAAAAAAAAAAGAUAUGCAAUCUUAACCGUUGAAUUAGUAUUUUAACUGUAGGAUGCAAUGCUUCUUGAUGCCAUAUAUUAAAGAUUCAAAGACCAAAAGUUAUAUUUAUGAUUUUGUAGUACCCAGAGUCGAAAUUCUUUAUUAUGUCAAAAGUUUUAAGUGAAAUGUUAAAAAUAAGAUAUUAAUGUAGGUUGUUUACUUAUUUUAAAUAAAAAUCGAAUUAACUCAAUUUAUUUUAAAUGAACGAUCUAAAUUAUUUUUUCACAUUUAACAACCUGGUGAUUUAGUAAAAGCAUGACCUGAGGCUCGACCUGGUCAUGGGGUCAAUUUUGAAUUUUGGUGAACCUAACGAGUUGGGUCCAUUUCCACAAAAUGCCAAUUAGACAAUCAAUAUGAUUUUACAAUUGUAAAUUAAUACAUAGAUCGAUUAUUAAGCAACAUGCAUAGAACAAACAUAGGGUUUUUUUUAUGCAUAAUAGCAGUUCCCAACACCUACCAAAAAAAACAAAAACAUGGAGUUAUCUGAGUGAAUCAAUUUACAGAAUAAAAAAACAUAAAGAAAUCGAUCUUACUUGGGUUGAUCUUUGUUACAAGUCCAGAAGCUUUGAAGUAGCAAUUCCAAGGAUUCUUGCCAUUGGACUGAUAGUACAAGUUCAUGGCAACAGAGGCAUGGCUAAUGAGGUUAUUUGGGUAGAAGCAAGCACCUCCAUGUUUCAGAAUACCACAGUCCACUAUAGAACAGGCAUAGUUUAUAUUCUCAAGCAAAGUUGCGUCGUUUGAU